rnacentral:rRNA from 1 species
AUUGAACGCUGGCGGCAGGCCUAACACAUGCAAGUCGAGCGGAUGAAGGGAGCUUGCUCCUGGAUUCAGCGGCGGACGGGUGAGUAAUGCCUAGGAAUCUGCCUUGUCUUGGGGGAUAACGUCCGGAAACGGACGCUAAUCUCACAUACGUCCUUAUGUAGAACGUGAUGGAUCUUUGGACCUCACGCUAUUUGAUGAGCCUUGGUCGUAUUAGCUAGUUGGUGUGGUAAAGGCCUACCAAGGCGACGAUCCGUAACGGGUCUGAGAGGAUGAUCAGUCACACUGGAACUGAGACACGGUCCAGACUCCUACGGGAGGCAGCAGUGGGGAAUAUUGGACAAAGGGCGAAAGCCUGAUCCAGCCAUGCCGCGUGUGUGAAGAAGGUCUUCGGAUUGUAAAGCACUUUAAGUUGGGAGGAAGGGAAGUAAGUUAAUACCUUGCUGUUUUGACGUUACCAACAGAAUAAGCACCGGCUAACUUCGUG